CCAGACUCCUACGGGAGGCAGCAGUGAGGAAUAUUGGUCAAUGGGCGGGAGCCUGAACCAGCCAAGCCGCGUGAAGGAAGAAGGCGCCAGGCGUCGUAAACUUCUUUUGUCGGGGAACAAAGGGCGCCACGUGUGGCGUUGUGAGUGUACCCGAAGAAAAAGCAUCGGCUAACUCCGUGCCAGCAGCCGCGGUAAUACGGAGGAUGCGAGCGUUAUCCGGAUUUAUUGGGUUUAAAGGGUGCGCAGGCGGGAGAUCAAGUCAGCGGUAAAAUGUCGGGGCUCAACCCCGGCCGGCCGUUGAAACUGGUUUUCUAGAGUUGGAGAGAAGUAUGCGGAAUUCGUGGUGUAGCGGUGAAAUGCAUAGAUAUCACGAAGAACUCCGAUUGCGAAGGCAGCAUACCGGCUCCAUACUGACGCUGAGGCACGAAAGCGUGGGGAUCGAACAGGAUUAGAUACCCUAGUA
rnacentral:rRNA from 1 species